rnacentral:lncRNA from 10 species
GAAAAACUAUGUGCCCUGGAGGACAUUGAGGUAAAGAUGGAGAUGGUCAAGGGGUUACCGCCAGUCUGUUUCUUGCGCUGAUAAUUUUUCUAGACAUUAAAUCUCACCAUUUGUUCCCAACAAAGAAAGAAAGACAGGACCACCAGACUCUACAGGAUUUCCAUCAUGUGACAAGAUUUCUAGGACCUGAGAACUACUUGCCUGUCCAGUGCCAUGAAGACAUCUGAGUAAUUGGAUAUGUCUGUUUAGUUACAGGCUCCAACACUCAUAAACUCUGCCACACUGCCUGGAUCCAAUCUUGCCUCGGCCAUUAUGACUGAAAACUGUGGACAAGUCUUUCACUCCCUUGGUGUCUCAGUUUGUUAAUUGAUAAAUGGUGA